rnacentral:lncRNA from 1 species
CGGUCGGGGGUUGCUUUUCCCGCUCCAGGACAAGUUGUCCCCGUUUUCGGGGGCUGUUCCCGGUUCAAAAUCGCGUUUCCCGGUUCAUGGUGGGAUUAUCCCAGUCCGGGACAAGCUGUCCCAGUUCCCGGCUGCUUUUCCCAGUUCAGGGUCACGUUCUCCCGCUCCAGGACAGGUUUUCCCGGUUCCCGGGUGUUAUUCCCGGUUCGGGAUCGCGUUUCCCGGUCCAGGACAACUUGUCCCGGUUUUUGGGGGCUGGUCCCAGUUCGGGGUCGCGUUUCCCGGUUCACAGCCCGGUUCUCCCGGUCCGGGAAAAGUUGUCCCGGUUCUUGGGGGCUGUUCCCAGUUGGGGAUCUCUUUUCCCAGUUCACACCCGGGUUCUCCCAGUCCGGGACUGGGUGUCCCGGUUCAGGGUCGGGUUAUCUCGCUCCAGGACAACUUGUCCCGGUUCCCGCGGACUAUUCCCGGUUCGGGAUCACUUUUCCCGCUUCAGGGUGGGAUUAUCCCAGUCCGGGACAAGCUGUCCCAGUUCCCGGGGCUGUUCCCAGUUCGAGAUCGCGUUUCCCGGUUCACAGCCCGGUUCUCCCGGUCCGGGAAAUGUUGUCCCGGUUUUGGGGGGUUGUUCCCAGUUCGGGAUCACUUUUCCUGGUUCAGGGUCGGGUUGUCCCGGUCCAGGACAAGUUCUCCCGGUUCCCGGGUGUUAUUCCCGGUUCGGGAUCGCGUUUCCCGGUUCACAGCCCGGUUCUCCCAGUCCGGGAAAAGUUGUCCCGGUUUUUGGUUUGUUUGUUUUUUUUUUGUUCCCGGUUCGAGAUUGCUUUUCCCAGUUCAGGGUCGGAUUCUCCCGGUCCAGGACAACUCGUCCCGGUUCCCGUUCCCGGUUCCCGCGGACUGUUCCCAGUUCGGGAUCUCUUUUCCCACUUCACCCCCGCGUUCUCCCGGUCCGGUCCGCGCUGUUCCCGCUCCCCUGCGCUUUUCCCGGUUCACCCCCCCGGCUCUCCCGCUCCAUUAUCACCGUUACUACAGUUAAUUAUUAUUUUCGGGGUGUGUCGGGUUUUUUUUUCCCGGUACCUUUCGCAGCUCCUGCUCGAUCUCCAGGGCGCGGGUGACGAUGGGGCCGCGCACCGCGUACUCCACGCGGCGGAUGGCGGGGUUCAUGGUGUCGGGGGUCAGCACCCGGCCCCGCCGGACGCCCCCCCCCCCCCCCCCCCCCCCCCCCCCCCCCCCCCCCCCCCCCCCCCCCCCCCCCCCCCCCCCCCCCCCCCCCCCCCCCCCCCCCCCCCCCC